AGGGCACCACCAGGAGUGGAGCCUGCGGCUUAAUUUGACUCAACACGGGAAAACUCACCCGGCCCGGACACUGGAAGGAUUGACAGAUUGAGAGCUCUUUCUUGAUUCAGUGGGUGGUGGUGCAUGGCCGUUCUUAGUUGGUGGAGUGAUUUGUCUGGUUAAUUCCGAAAACCAAACAAACUCUAAGCUUAUAAAAAGAUUGUUGGCUUACAAACCCCCGGCAGACUUUUUAAAGGGACCAGGGGCCAAUCAGCCGGAUCAAACCAAACAAAAUCAGGUCUGUGAUGCCCUUAAAGGCCCGGGGCCCCACGCGCCCACACUGAAGUGAUCAGCGGGCAUUUUGAAACCUACUCUGUCAAGACUGGGGAACCCAAUGAACCUUCUUCGUGAUUGGGAAAGGGGAUUGUAUAAUUCCCCAUGAACGAGGAAUUCCCAGUAAUGAUAAAUCAAAAGUUCGCGCUGACUCCGCCCCUGCCCCCUUGCACAUACCGCCGGUCGAAACUACCAAUUGAAUGUAUA
rnacentral:rRNA from 1 species